rnacentral:rRNA from 1 species
CACGUAGGGUGCGAGCGUUGUCCGGAAUUAUUGGGCGUAAAGAGCUCGUAGGCGGUGUGUCGCGUCGGCCGUGAAAACCUGCAGCUUAACUGUGGGCUUGCGGUCGAUACGGGCAUCACUGGAGUUCGGCAGGGGAGACUGGAAUUCCUGGUGUAGCGGCGAAAUGCGCAGAUAUCAGGAGGAACACCGGUGGCGAAGGCGGGUCUCUGGGCCGAUACUGACGCUGAGGAGCGAAAGCGUGGGGAGCGAACAGG